AAUAACCUGAAUGAUGGAUUAACAAAAGCGUGGCACUCGGUGGGGCUUGCCUUCGCAGCCGCGAGAUCUCCAGCAAGUCCUCACUUGCCUCCAACGAUCCCUUUUCUCUCUGGGCCGCUGGAAGGAAGACAAGAAAAGGAAAAGCAGGAGGAGGGGUAACAGAGAAAUGCAUGGUUGGGCUCAAUCUGGACCGACUCUGUUCCCUCCCGUCAGAAAUAUCAGAUGCCAAAGAACCUGGAGGGACCCAUCCUAUGACCUGUCAUCUUGCAAAGGGUCUCAUUGCAAUGGAUCCUGUAGCCAUUCUGAGAGCAGAAGCUGCACGUAGGUGAAGGAUGCAAGGGUGUCAUUCUAUGGAAUGGAGAUCUUUGGUUUCUCCUUUGUUUUGUGCCCACGUUGGACAACCUUCCAUCACCAAUAUACAGACCCAAUUUCAGGUUGUGUCUCUGAAGGACAGAUUCAUUCAUCCCUUCUGUUUGAGUAACUCACUAGCCUCCUCCCCGGCUCUUUCGGUGUUUGCUUUUGUGAAUGGGGCAGUGAAGAGGGGCCGGGCCCACCGAGUCUUUGUUCCAAUGGUUUAUCCUUCAGGCCCAACCCAAGACUUCCUUCGGUGGGUCUCUCUUUUUCCCACAGUAUGAUUAAGCUCUUCCCUAUGCCACCGGUGAACUUCGUAUGAACCCUUCCUUCCCGCUAAACCUCCAGUCAUUACACCAUCCCAUGUUCCUGUUGACCGUUCUUAAUGGUUCAUUAUUAACCACUUAAGCAAGGAGUGGGGGCGGUGGAAUGGCAAAAAUGGAUUCCAAACCUGUUGGACAAGCUUGACCUUUCUUGGGAAAGUGGCGUGGGGAGAAUUUCUUGGCUUAUCACUCCUGCGGCUGAAUGAGCUGGACAUUUUCCGCACUGGUCAGGUCAUGGGAUGAGUUUCCGAUCGUAGGUUUGAUUCUCAAACCAGCCGCAUGGACUCAACCAUGGCCCUGAAGCAAUGGUAUGGCGAGGACAUGAAGGGAUGCGCUGGUAUCUUCUCUGAACCAGCACCUGGUUGGUGAUCUUCCAUCCAAGUACUCACCUGGCUGCAUGGACUCAACCAUGGACCUGAAGCAAUGGCAUGGUGAGGACACGAAGGGAUGGUCUGGUAUCUUCUCUGAACCAGCACCUGGUUGGUGAUCUUCCAUCCAAGUAGUCACCUGGCUGCAUGGACUCAACCAUGGACCUGAAGCAAUGGCAUGGCGAGAACAUGAAGGGAUGGUCUGGUAUCUUCUCCGAACCAGCACCUGAUCGGUGAUCUUCCAUCCAAGUACUCACCUGGCCGCAUGGACUCAACCAUGGACCUGAAGCAAUGGCAUGGCGAGGACAUGAAGAGAUGGUCUGGUAUCUUCUCUGAACCAGCACCUGGUUGGUGAUCUUCCAUCCAAGUUCUCACGUGGCUGCAUGGACUCAACCGUGAUGGUGAAGAUCAAGGUGAAAAAAGAAACCAUGAACCAUGAGAAGACAGAACUCUAUUCAACAAGGUGCCCCCCCCCAUUUUCUCCCUGGCAAGCCUCCCUCCCCCCCUCUGCCUCCCUCCCCAGUUUAAUUUUAGGCUCUGUGUGUUUAUAGUACAAGGGAAAGGACAUCGUGUCAACACAACCUACUGCAAAUGGACAAAGAAUACCAGGAGAGCCCUGCGGUUUCAUUGCCAGUGAAGCACUUGACAAGGCCAUAACCCAAGAAAGGAAAGAGUCUAGAGCAUCUACAUGAGUACAAGCCAUAUUUUUUGGCUACGGAUCGAAAAUGGCUAUCUGGCUGCCCACCCGUUUUUGGGAUUCGUGCGAAAACGGAUAUGGGGGUUUACAGGUAUCCGGCCAGCAGAAAUGGAUCGAAGUUUAGCUGAAAUACACAAGCCUAAUAUCUAUGCAAACAAUAUAACGUUUUCUAGGAUAUUGCAGAUAUCUAUCCACCAAACAUGCCGAUCUAUUUCCUCUAAAGCUGUAAGGAGUGGGACACUUGAGGAUUUGUGCAAUGUUGUGCUUUCCUAUUUUGUUUAUUUUUGCAAAAAACCUUGGAAACCCAGAGGGUUCCACCAUAGCUCAUUUCCACUUUCUCCCUCCCCAAGACUUCUUGGCUCCUUCCUGACCCAGACUUUGAGCGAGAGAGAAAAAGAGCGCUCUGUCACCUUUGGAAAACUUCAAACUUCUGCCGGACGGUCUUGCUCCUGUCGCGGAGAGUGACACACACAGGCCUCUUGUCUGCCGAAUGCCACCGAAACCUCGCCCGGGCUCUGCGCUGAUAGAAGGCCUGCCAGUUCUUCGACGGGAUAGCCUUUGAGUGCUCCAUGCUAAUGGGGUGGAGAUAAUGUAUCGUUUUGUGCCUUCCUGUGCCUGGCCGCAUGGUGUUCUAGCCAAAGGUCAGCUGGUUUGAUGUGUGCAGACAGAUAUUUGGGUUGUGUUCAGACUUUCCUACCCAGGGGUGUACGUAUCGGAGGCGUUGCCUUCCGAGGAAGAAUUCUGCAUUCCCCAUGAAGCUGUCCUUCAGUCUCAAAUGUGGCAGAAAAGGAGAUGUCCAGAACCAUUCACAACAACAUCUGCUAUCUUUCCUAUGCUUGCAUUCAGGUGCUCGCUUUGCCGUGUUGCAGUUGUAUUUUCAAGUACUAAAAUCUAGGUGUGAAUGGUUCUUAGAAUUUCGAGAACUGCAAGAAAUAUUGGAUACCAAUUAUAUUGGUCUAUCUAUCUCUAUCUAUCAUCUAUCUAUCUGUCUAUCUAUCUAUCUAUCUAUCUAUCUAUCUAUCUAUCAUCAUCAUCAUCUAUCUCUAUCUAUCUAUCUGUCUGUCUGUCUGUCUGUCUGUCUAUCUAUAUCUAUCUAGCUACUAUCUUAAUGGUUCCCAACCUGUGGUCCAUGGACCAUUAGUGGUCCCCAAGAAUUAAAAUAUGGCCCACGACCUCACCAUUACUACACCGUUGCAACAAGAGUGAAACCCUGGUCAAGUGGUACCUGGUCAAACAAAGGUUGGGAACCACUGAUCUAUCUUCCGGCUGUGCUAUAUGUAUCCAUGUAUUCACACAUACUUAUUUAUUUCCAUCAUUUCUAUCCCGCCCUUCUCACUCAAAGGGACUCAGGGCGGCUUACAAAACUGGCAGAAUUUGAUGCCAAUACACAUUGAGUGUAUACACACAUGCAUAUUGUAAGUACAUAAUUUUCACUUAGGGGAGGAUAAUAUCCUCGGUUCGAAUUCUUGCCUAGCCAAUUCAUUCGAGUGAGGCCCAUUUGGCAGUUAUUUUGAACCCUGGAAUAGGAAAAGCCUAUUGCUACUUAAGGCCUAUAUACACUGUAGAAAUUAUACACUUUAGUACCACUUUAACUGCCAUCAUUCUGUGCUAUGGAGUUGUGUGUUUUUGGGUUUUGUGAGUCACCAAUAGCGAUGUGCAUGGUAUUGUUUUAUUGUACCAUAUUUGGGGGAUUCGGUCAUUCUGUUUGCCAAAUCCCAGAAAACAGGUAUUUUUCAGCACAGAAAAUUACAUUUUCCACGCAGAAAGAAAAAUGAAUGUAUUUGGGCACGAUAAUCAUAUGCAAAUUUUGCAUCCUGAAUUGCAAAGAAUUUUAUUCAUCACUUCUAAGCCCUCGAGAAACAUGUGUUAAAUACUCUCACGGCUCUUAGAGCGGAUUGUAAUAUACUGAUCUCCUGUUAACAUUUUUUGAGGGGGUAAAACAUGCUGAAUACAAAGGUGAUGCUCAUGGUUCAUUUCAUAGUAAAACCGAAUUCCCGGCCUCAUAAAAUCCUCCUCGAGAUACCUUAAAUGGCUUUGAUCAGGCGUUUUAAAGAUGUCUCCGCUUCCCAACACAUUCCUAAGCCGUUAAAGAGCUGUCUCUCAGGGAUGAGGUUUCCUGUGGCUUUGUGAAAAAAUAUAGAAUUGGUUGAAUAAAUAUUUGUCAUCUUUCGA